UCCCAGCUUCUUCUCCCACCAAUCUCAACCAAAAAUGAAAUCUUCCACAUAGAAAAGAGAAUGAUCAAAAUGUAUUCUUGGGAAAUUGACUCUAGAUCUCCCCCCUCUCUCUCCACCCUCCUGUCCCCCCUUUUUCCUCACUACCUAAACAGGCAGACAACAAAUUACACUUUUGGCAUUUCCAGUUUGGAGCCCUACAGCAAUACUCACUGAAGAAGCUGUCUCAACAAAGAGGAACAGAGCACUAAAGCUAAAUAACCCCCAUGAAGGACCAACCCUCUUCCGGCAGUCCCCAAAUGAAGAGCAAUUGUAUUCCUUUAAUUCAGUCAUAAAUCAACUCUCAAUUCUAUGAGAUUUUUCACAGAAGAACGGAGCGCCUCAAAAGUGGAUCAAGGCAGAAAUGGAUGUGGAAAUUAUCAUCCUGUACCUUUGAGGUAAAGAGGCUUCUACAGCUCUGGCAUGAGCUACCACAGGUCAUAACCAUUAGGAAAGAAACUGGAAUGUUACCAUGCCAGGCUUUGUAAGUAUUCUGUUAGUUCUCCUCUAUAUUGAUUAAAGUUCGUAAAGUCAAUACCUGGAACAGCCCAGAGGGAAAAUACUUUACCUGUUCUCUUACUUCCCAAGAUACCACAUUUAUUAUCUAAGUCGCACAGGUUAUCAGAUAAACUUGCAGGUUUUUGUUUUAUGAAGAAACAAUAAUCCCCAGGCUACUUUCCAGCAUCCUCUACUGUUACUCUACAAAAUCUUCCUUGGUGACAUCAUCCACUUCUCUGUCUUUGCUGGUUACCCGGUGCUGACAGCUGCUCCCUGCAAGGUGCAGGUGUCUCCUAACAAUCACUAACUCCGCCUGUCGAACACCGAACUCACAGCCCCGACCUCUACGCCCUGCAUCUCCUCCACCACUCCCUCGCUGAAUGGCAUCCCCACUUCUCCUAGCCGCCCCAGACACAAACCUUCGCAGUCACCUUUCAUUUCUCCCUCUCGCUCCACAGGGUGGCCCUAAGGUAACUCGUACCUCCUGAAAAUCUCAUGAGUUAGUUCCAGCAGGAGUUUCUCAUUCCAGCUCCUCAUCUCUCAUUGUAAUCCCUAAUCCAUUCCCCUACAAUGCUACCAGAGGGACCGUGCUAAAAUGUAAUUCCAGUUAUUUUAUCCCCCUAAAAACUAAAAUCUACCAAAUGGCUCCCAAUGCCAUCAGAAUAAUGCCAAGAAGCCUUAGGAGAGAAAAUGAGAUUCUUCACGAGGACCUUGCCCAUCUCUCUAGCCUGGUCCCA
rnacentral:lncRNA from 1 species